rnacentral:lncRNA from 1 species
AAGCCCACUAUGGUUGGGGAUUACCUGCGUGGAUGAAAAUAAAAGGGGUGAGUUUGGGGAAACUCAGUGUGUAAAAUAACCCAACCAUAGUCUAAAUCAGCUCAACCCACAGAAACAGAAUAAGUUGGCCUUAGCCCAGAACAGAAAUUCAGAAUAAAGCCCAUAGGCCCAUAACAGAACAGAACAGAUAUUACAUGUUUAUGCAGAAACCCAACCAUAUCCAACCGUAUACACCCCCGUACCAACCUUACACCGUGUGGGGAGACAACUCGACCCACCCAACCACUACACACUAUAGAAUUUGCAGCAUGGCUACCAGAACAGAUAAUGUGACAGAGUCACCAGAUAUAGAUAAUCGUGGCAGAGCCACCAGAACAGAUAUAUGUGGCAGAGCCACCAGAUCAGAUAAUCGUGGCAGAGCCACCAGAACAGAUAUAUGUGGCAGAGCCACCAGAUCAGUUAAUCGUGGUAGAGCCACCAGAACAGAUAUAUGUGGCAGAGCCACCAGAUCAGAUAUUUGUGGCAUAGCCACCAGGACGCUUCCUCCAUAAUAUAACCCAUGUCCCCAGGCAACAGAAAUAAUAUGUCAUGGCAUACAUAUACUGAAACAGAACAUCAAGCUUUUCAGAAAAAAAUAACCCUAGGGGUAUAACGAUAAUUUUGCAUACAUAGGGGUGUUCAAGUAAUUUCACUAUUCUUAAGGUUUUCAUACAUAACAUAGCCAUUUAUGUACGAUCAGAAACACUUACCGCGUUUUCUUACCAACUUCGGCCCGUUGACCCAUUAUCCUGUUUUUGGCCCAUUAAGCCCUAAAACAUCGAAAUGCACGGAAUCGCGCACUCUGCAGUCUUAUCACUUUAAUUUACCAUAUACAUCAAACUAUUAAUCUCAUGAGCAUUAGCACACUCGCAAGAUCUCAAAAUACCGGCUUUUCGGCUUUUGCCGAUCUAGUCUAUAAGAGGGUGUUAGUUACACACCUGUUUGCGACGAUAUGAUGAUGAGAUCCACACACGAACCGCCUUCAAUUUUCUUCCCCAAGUGACCGAACAUUCAAGAGCUUUCUCCUCUCCUUUCUCUUCUCUAACUUUCGGUUAUGAUGAAUAAAGAUGGACAAAACUUGUUCUUUUCACCCCUUUUUCUUUUAAUAAAAUUUCAUAUAUCAUCCAUUUAAUUCUUUAAUACAAAAGACAUCAUGAAACAUUUACCUAACCCAUUAUCAUGGAACAUUUACCUAACCCAUUAUCAUGGAACAUUUGCCUAACCCAUUAUCAUGAAACAUUUACCUAACCCAUUAUCAUGGAACAUUUACCUAACCCAUUAUCAUGGAACAUUUACCUAACCCAUUAUCAAUUUGUAUCAAUUUUUACCAUAAAUUAUGGAUAUCAAGUGCACAUUUUGUCUACAACAACAUGAUGGCUGGCCACUUCAUGUAAAAUGGGAGGUUUGUCAUGCAAAUCCUCCUAUUUUGCACUCCUAUUUAUUUGGCCACUUCAAUUUAGCCUAUAGCAUUUUCAAACAUUUUCACAUAGGUUCUAUUUCAUAAUUUCACCCCCUUUUUCUUAUGGAACAAAAAUUAACUAAAAUUGCCGGGUUCUAUCUUAAGCUUGGGCCUUCUAGAGGCCCACUAACAUAAUUAAACCUAUGCCAACAUUCACAAAAUUCCUGAAAAUUGGGGCGUUACAACUCUUCCCUCCUUAAAGAAAUUUCGUCCUCAAAAUUUACUUGAUCCAACUAGUUGAGGGUAUUGUUGACGCUUAGUCUCUUCUGAUUCCCAAGUAGCUUCUUCCCUUCCAUGAUUACGCCAAAGUACUUUCACUAACGGGACAGAUUUCCUUCUGAGAACCUUAACAUCUCGAGCCAAUAUUUGCACAGGCUCCUCCUCAAAGGUCAAAUCAGUCUGAACUUCAAUUUCUGCAACUGGCAGAACAUGAGCAGGGUCAGAACGAUAACGCCUUAACAUGGAGACGUGAAAAACAUCGUGAAUCCUGUCUAACUCUGGAGGCAAUUCCAACUGAUAAGCCAUUGGGCCUACUCGCUUCAAAACCUGAUAAGGCCCAAUGAACCGCGGACUCAACUUGCCCUUCUUACCAAACCUUAAUAUUUUCUUCGAAGGAGAAACCUUUAAGAAAACCAUAUCACCUACUGAGUACUCAAUCUCCUUACGCUUCAAAUCUGCAUACGACUUUUGCCUAUCAGAUGCUUCUCUUAACCGGUCCCUAAUUAUUCUGACCUUAUCCUCAGUAUCAGCUACCAACUCUGGUCCAAGAACUUGUCGCUCUCCUAGUUCAGUCCAACAACUAGGUGUACGACACCUUCGUCCAUACAGUGCUUCAUACGGUGCCAUUCGAAUACUCGCCUGGUAACUGUUAUUGUACGCAAAUUCUGCCAACGGCAAGUGAUCCUCCCAACUACCUCGAAAAUCAAUCACGCAUCCCCUCAACAUGUCCUCCAGAAUUUGAAUAAUCCUCUCCGACUGACCAUCAGUUUGGGGAUGGAAAGCCGUACUAGAGUUCAAUCGCGUCCUCAACGCCUCAUGCAACUUUUGCCAAAAUCGAGAUGUGAAUCUGGGAUCCCGGUCGGAGACAAUCGAAACUGAGACUCCAUGAAGUCGUACAAUCUCCACCACAUAUAGCUUGGCUAGCUUUUGAAGCGAAAAGUUAGUACGUACAGGUAUGAAAUGGGCUGAUUUGGUCAACCUAUCCACAAUCACCCACACCGAGUCUUUCUUUUAUGGUGUCAAAGGCAACCCACUCACAAAGUCCAUGGUUACCCUCUCCCACUUCCAGAAUGGUAUCUUCACCGGCUGUAACAGUCCAGAAGGUAAUUGAUGCUCAGCUUUCACUUGUUGGCAUGUCAGACAUUUUCCUACAAACUCCGUUACUUCUCGCUUAAGUCUAGGCCACCAGUACAAUUCUCGCAAUUCGUGAUACAACUUAUUCCCUCCAGGAUGCAUGGCACAUAGUCCCCCAUGAGCUUCCUUCAAUAUUGUCUGCCUUAAAUCAGAGUCCCUUAGAACACAAAUUUUUCCUCGGAAACACAGAACUCCAUCACCAUUUAAGCCGAACUCAGAAGUUUCCCCUUCCUUAACUUAUUGAAAACGAGCAACCAAAGACUCAUCUUCCAAUUACUUUUCCUUAAUCUGGUCCACCCAGGUUGGCCUUACUUGCAAUUCAGCCAACAAACUACCAUCAUCAUACAGACUCAAACGAGCAAACAUUGCUCUCAGAUCAGAUACAGUUCUACGACUUAGAGCAUUGGCUACCACAUUAGCCUUGCCUGGGUGAUACUCGAUCGAACAAUCAUAAUCCUUAAGUAACUCAAUCCAUCUCCUUUGCCUAAGGUUCAAUGUGACAGCCCAAAAUUGACCCUAGUCGGGAAGUGGUUUCGGGACCGCUAAACCGAGUCACCGAAAUGUUCGAAUGAGAUAUUUAUUGUCUAGAAUAUGUAAUUAUGAAUGUGUGAAAAUUUCAAGCUUUGAUUUAGUCGAUUGCAUGUGAGUUUUAGUAAAUAGGACUUAUGUGAGAAAAUUUUGAAAUGUGAUAGGUCAAAGCAUAAGGACCUAUUAGUGCAUGUUGAAAAAUGGGGGACUUGCAUGUCAAUUUCCCCCCUCUAUUAGUAGUGGCCGGCCAUGACAAGUAUGGUAGACCAAGUGUGAUGGGCAAGACAUGUCAUAGACAUGUUGUGUUGGUGCAUCAUGGGUGGAAACAAUAAAAUAAUGAGCAUGGUGAUUAAAUAAUGAAAGGGAGGAGUGAUGAAAAAAAAAAGAAUGGUCUCAUCCAUGCCCCCCCCAUUUCCGUGAGUAAAAGAAAAGAAAAGAAAAGAAAAAUUUUGUUCAUCCUUUUUCAUCUUCUUUUGGCCGAAAAUUCUAAGGAAGGAGGAAGGAGUUCUUGCUUCAUGUUUGGUUUGGAAGAGGAUUAGGAGGAGGUUUGGCCAUACUUGUAUCUAGAUCAAGGUAUGUUUGAGGUUGUGCCAUGAGAUUCAUGCAUGUUUUUAGUUGCUAGCUUGAGUUCUAAUUAGCCCAUGGUUCAAAUCUUUGCUAUGUCAUAGGGAUGAUAUUCGGCCUAGGUGGAUUUUGUGUUAGUGCCAUUGCAUGCUAAAUAUGAAGCUUGUUAAUGAUACAUGUGAUGGUGGAUUGAUGACUCUUGGAUUUUCUUUUUAGCAUUUUUGAGUGAGCACAUAUGUGCAUUGGUUGCUAGAUGGAGAAAAAUCGGCUAGCAAGUUGUGUGCUAAGGCCGAAUAUAAUUUUUGUAUAUUAAUGAGUAAUGCAUGUGUUAAAUUGAUGGAAAGGGAGAGGAUGCUUUACUAGCGUAUAUAUGUGUGUAUUAGCCAAGUUUUGAACUUGAAACAAAAUGGUGUUUAGUUAAUACAAGUGACCAUACUUGUAGAAUGUAUUAAGUGUUGCAAUCGGCCCCAACAUAGACAUGCAUAUUCGGCCAUAGGAAGGAGAUUGGUGUUGCAUGUAUUCGGUUAGAGGCAAGCAUAUUGAUGCUUUUGUCUUGGCUUAGAAAAUUCGGCCAAGGGGGAAAAUUAGCUAAAAUGUUGAGUUUGAUUCAUGAUUUCCGUACAUAUGUGACUUUAAUGUCUAAUGUAUAAAUAUGGGCUAAGUGCCUUGUGUUCCUCUUUUCGAUGCUCAAAUGAUUAAAUCAAUUUAUUUGUUUAAUUAAGCUCAAGAGCAAAGGGGAACUAAAUCCGAUAAAGGGAAGGAAAAAGUGGUCGAAUAGCUAUCGGAAUCGUUUGACAACAUCCGAGGUAAGUUCUUGAGUAAAAGAGCUUAAAUUAUGAUUUGAUUAGAUCAUGUUUUAAGCAAAUCAAAAUCAUGCUCUUUGUGUGUGGCUAUUGAGCCGAAAUUGCAAGAAUGAUAAGUGUCUUGUGUUUGAGUUUUGCUAACGAAAACGAAAUACGAAUGUGCCAUGAUUUAUUGUUAAAUGUGCAUGGUUAUUUGAAUGAUGUCCGAGCUAAGUCCCGAAGGCUUUGUGCUAGGUGACCAUAUCCGGACUAAGAUCCGAAGGCAUUUGUGCGAGUUACUAAAUCCGGGUUAAGUCCCGAAGGCAUUUGUGCGAGUUACUAUAACCGGGCUAUGUCCCGAAGGCAUUUGAACGAGUAGCUAUAUCCGGUUAAAUUCCGAAGGUACGUGAUUUGGGAAUGAAUGAUCUUGCUGUAAAAAUUUCAGUUAAUACGCUUGAAACAUCCCAACAUUAAGGUAUGUUUCGUAUGUGCUUUGAAUUAGUUGAGCCCUUACAAAUAAGUAUUUGCUCAGUUGAUAAAUGAGCUACCGGCCUUUGGCUAAGUUGAUCUUUGUGUAUGAAUAAAAGGGUUGGUAAUGUGAAGUAAGUAUGAUAUUGAAAAAUUGUGCAUAUGAAAUUAUCCGUUUAGCUACAUGAAUGCUAUACUUUUGUUGUGCUGGAAUCCCUUGCUCAAAACUUACUAAGCAUAAAUUGCUUACUCCGUCUCCUUGAUUCUCUGUUUUAUAGAUUUUGGUUCUCCAGCUAUCGGACUCGGGAUUUUGAAGUCGAAGUCGCCCACACUAUCAAAGCCCCCCCCUUUUGGUACAAUUUUGGUUGAACUUCGAAAUGGCAUGUAUAGGACUACCCUUUUUGUUGGGGGUCAUGGACCUUUUGGACUUGUAUAAUUUUGGAUAGCCAUGCGAAAAUGGCUUAUAUAUGUUUGAGUAUAAUGUUAUAAUCAUUUGGUAUGGAUAUGGUUAUUGAGAGGUGUGGAUAUGCUUAACAAGGAUUGGCCAUGGGAAUGGUUAAUCACUAUCAUAAUUUGUGCUAUUUAUGCUAAAAGGGCUAGUUGAAUCAUGGAAACUAUGAAAUAGGUAAAGUCUACCUUAAAGGCAGAUGCUGACAGCAGCAGUGAUGUAGAUUUGGAAAAUCACUAAAAAUAGUAGGAAGGUAAUUAAAUAGUGAAUAAAGUAUGUAAACGAACCUUGAUGAAUCUAUUUUCAUAGGGAAGUAACGAAACGAUCAUAUGGACAGUAUGUUAAGAGAUAUUCAGGUUCUCGUAAGACAGGGCCAGAACGGUUUCUGGAUUUCCUGUUUCGACUUUGGAAAUUCAUUAUAAAUUAACCGGAGAUAAUUAGGAGUCAUGCCAUAUAUUUAUAGAUUCCUCUUUGAGUCUAGUUUCUAUAGAAACAAUCGACAUCAGUAUUGAAUCCCUGUACAGGGAGAUAUCCAAGUCGUAAUGUGCAAAGGUCAAUGUAGUCGAUCCCUGUAACAUGGGAGACUUUUACUAAUAAACUGUACUAAUUGGCCCAACUAAAAAUUCUAGAAAAAAAUAUGUAGAUGGGAAUAUGAGUCUAGUUUUAGGAAAAAUUUACGGAACUGGAUUCUGAGUUUCUGAACUCAAGAUAUGAUUUUUUAAGCGACUAGUACGCAGAUUGGCAGUGUCUGGGAAAUUUUUUUAUAAGUGGUUUAAAGUCUGUUAACACCUCGUGUUCGACUCCGGUGACGGUCUCGGGUUCGGGGUGUUACAUUCAGCUCUUUCUGAGUCAACAAAUACUUAAGACUCUUCUGGUCUGUGUAUAAAAUACACCUUUCUCCGUACAAGUAAUGUCUCCAAAUCUUAAGUGCAAAUAUCACUGCUGCCAACUCUAAAUCAUGAGUCAGAUAGUUCCCCUCAUGAGGCUUAAGCUGUCGUGAUGCAUAUGCAACCACCUUACCCUCUUGCAUUAACACGCAGCCCAAACCCACGUGUGAUGCGUCACUCUACACAGUAAAAUCCUUCCCAGACUCCAGCUGAAUUAACACAGGUGCUUCAGUCAGAACUUUCUUCAACUUCUCAAAAGCUUCCUACUGCUUCUUAGUCCAUACAAACGGUACUCCUUUCCGUAUGAGUUUUGUCAAAGGUGCUGCCAUCACAGAAAAACCUUCCACAAACCUUAUGUAGUAUCCUGCCAGUCCUAGGAAACUCCGUAUUUUCGACACUGACCUAGGCGGCUUCCACUCCAAAAUCGCUUCAAUUUUUCAAGGGUCCACCUUAAUCCCCUCAGCAGAGACCGCAUGUCCUAAGAAGGUUACCUCCCUCAACCAAAGUUCAGACUUGCUGAACUUCACAAAGAGUUCCUUCUUCUUUAACACUUCAGAAUGAUACGGAGAUGCUCAUCAUGUUUCGCUUCAGUUUCAGAAUAUACCAGGAUAUCGUUAAUAAAGACGACUACGAACUAAUCAAAAAAUGGUUGGAACACACGAUUCAUCAGAUCCAUAAAUGCUGCAGGAGCAUUCGUCAGUCCAAAUGGCAUAACUAGAAACUCGUAAUGACCAUACCGGGUCCUGAAUGCCGUCUUAUGGAUAUCUGCCUCAUUGACUCUUAGCUGAUGAUAUCCAGAUCGAAGGUCGAUCUUGGAAAAUACAGAAGCUCCUCUAAGCUGGUCGAACAGAUCAUCAAUCCUUGGCAGUGGAUACUUAUUCUUAAUCGUCAGUUUGUUCAACUGGGGAUAAUCAAUGCACAUCUGCAUCGUACCAUCUUUCUUUUUCACGAAUAGCACCGGUGCUCCCCAUGGAGACACGCUUGGCCUAAUGAAACCCCUAUCCAACAACUCUUGAAUUUGAGCCUUUAACUCCACUAACUCCUUCGGUGCCAUCCUAUACGGUGCGAUGGACACAGACGCCAUUCCAGGCAACAAAUCUAUUCCAAACUCAACUUCUUGGUUUGGAGGCAAUCCUGGAAGUUCCUCUAGAAAAACAUCUUGGAACUCCUUUACGGUACUAACCUUAUCCACUGUCAGUCCCUCCUCUUCUGACUAACUUACAAAUGCCAAAUAGGCCUCACAACCUUUCCGAAUCCACUUUUCGGCUCUUAAAGCCGACACCACAUUGGACAAAUAAUCCCUUCGCUCACCUAUCACUAUAACCUCCUCAUCCUUUGUGGUCUUUAACACCAUUUGUUUAGCAGCACAAUCCAGGGUCGCCUUAUUCUUAACAAGCCAGUCCAUUCCCAAAAUGAGAUCAAACUCUCCGAACGGUAACUCCAUCAGAUCUCCAGGGAAAAUCCUACCUUGAGUUUCUAAGGGUACAUCCCUAUACAGUUUGUCUACCCUAACCGAGUGACCCAAAGGACUUAGUAUAGAUACCCCACGCACAAUCUCCUCAGAGCAGUCCAAGUCAUCCAUAAUCCGUUUUGUGGCCUCCAACCAAUAUUCCGCCACAUUCGGGGCUAUACCAGACACGCCCCUAAAGAUCUCCGCUCCGUUUGCCCGAAGUCGUUCAGAAAUAGAUCCCCGAACUCCAUUGCCCGCACUUGCCCCGGCAACCCUUUCCAGAACACGAAGCAUUGCCUGUGAUAGGGCAUCAUCCCCGACACUGCGGUCAUGAGACUCUACCUCUAUUGUCAGUGGUACCGGUGCAUCCACCGCCGGCAUAUGUCUUGAAGACGAAGAUCUCGCUCGAGUACUUCCUCGGCUCCGUCCACGGCCUAUUGUACUCAUAUCGUAUUAUCUUGAUUACAAAUUUUUAUGCAUCAAUUAAUAUUCCAGUAUUUAUUACAGAUUUUUAUGAAUCAGACAGUAGUUCAGAGUUUGUUUUUGCAGAAUCGAAGUCUAACUACAGUUUCAGUCUCUUAUCAGAUUUUCCUAUGGUUUCAGUAUCAUCCUAUCUAGAGUAUCCUAGCAGGAUUUCAGUACAGACAGAUAAGUCAGAAUAAUAUUCAGAAGAGUUCAGAGUAAUACUUACAGGCUUGGGCUGGAGAUUCGGAAUGCCACAUUCUAAAGAUCUAAAUUUUGAAAAUCGUGUUUUUCACAAUCUUUAUAAUUUUUUUUUGUUUUUUUUGAAAAUCUUUUUUUUUGUAAACCCAUUCCACAGCUGAGUUGUUGCAACCUAGGCUCUGAUACCACUAAAUGUAGCACUCCUUACCCGGCCCAGACGUUAUGGCCGAAUCCGACAUGCCACAUCGAAGCAUUUAAAACAUUUCCGAUCCAGAAAGAAAACUUACUGAGUGUUUUAAAAGAUGAUUUCAUUAUAGGUUAAAGUGAAUGGAAGCUGUGCACCAGGUAGGAAACUGGAAAAGAGGAGGUGAGUCCAUUGGACUGCUUAAGUACCAAACUCCCUUCGGAUCCAAUCCUAGACAUGCAAACCGCCAUUGCCAUACCUUAACGUCAUGUAUAUUUCUAGGAAACCGAUUUGAUUAAGUCCUUUUUAGGAAAAGUCAUUAAUUUUGGAAAAUAUCUUCAUUGCAGAAGCUUUGCUUGUUUUCAUGUUAUUUUGAAAUCAAUUACUGUUUUUGAAAACACGCCCUAAAGCUAUCCAAUUUCAACAGUUAAAUAUAAAUAUUACCUAUCUUAAUAAAACAUAUAAAAACCAUCAAAAAUAAAUAAGCGACCUUAUUAAAUUUAAAAGCCCAAAACCUCAAACGUAAUUAAAAGGAUGUCCAGUUCACCAGAAGAAAAUCAAACUUUCAGAACGGGUGGCCACUCCGAAUUCCCUCACAGCUCCAAGCCCACUAUGGUUGGGGAUUACCUGCGUGGAUGAAAAUAAAAGGGGUGAGUUUGGGGAAACUCAGUGUGUAAAAUAACCCAACCAUAGUCUAAAUCAGCUCAACCCACAGAAACAGAAUAAGUUGGCCUUAGCCCAGAAUAAAAAUUCAGAAUAAAGCCCAUAGGCCCAUAACAGAACAAAACAUAUAUUACAUGUUUAUGCAGAAACCCAACCAUAUCCAACCGUAUACACCCCCGUACCAACCUUACACCGUGUGGGGAGACAACUCGACCCACCCAACCGCUACACACCAUAGAAUUUGCAGCAUGGCUGCCAGAACAGAUAAUGUAACAGAGUCACCAGAUAUAGAUAAUCGUGGCAGAGCCACCAGAACAGAUAUAUGUGGUAGAGCCACCAGAUCAGAUAAUCGUGGUAGAGCCACCAGAACAGAUAUAUGUGGCAGAGCCACCAGAUCAGAUAAUCGUGGUAGAGCCACCAGAACAGAUAUUUGUGGGAGAGCCACCAGAUCAGAUAUUUGUGGCAUAGCCACCAGGACGCUUCCUCCAUAAUAUAACCCAUGUCCACAUGCAACAGAAAUAAUAUGUCAUGGCAUACAUAUACAGAAACAGAACAUCAUGCUUUUCAGAAAAAAAAUAACCCUAGGGGUAUAACAGUAAUUUUGCAUACAUAGGGGUGUUCAAGUAAUUUCACUAUUCUUAAGGUUUUCAUACAUAACAUAGCCAUUUACGUACGAUCAGAAAAACUUACCGCGUUUUCUUACCAACUUGGGCCCGUUGGCCCAUUAUCCAAUUUUUGGCCCAUUAAGCCCAAAAAUAUCGAAAUGCAUGGAAUCGCGCACUCUGCAGUCUUAUCAAUUUAAUUUACCAUAUACAUCAAACUAUUAAUCUCAUGAGCAUUAGCACACUCGCAAGAUCUCAAAAUACCGACUUUUCAGCUUUUGCCGAUCUAGUCUAUAAGAGGCUGUUAGUUACACACCUGUUUGCGACGAUAUGCUGACGAGAUCCACACACGAACCGCCUUCAAUUUUCUUCCCCAAGUGACCGAACAUUCAAGAGCUUUCUCCUCUCCUUUCUCUUCUCUAACUUUCGGCUAUGAUGAACAAAGAUGGACAAAACUUGUUCUUUUCACCCCUU